rnacentral:tRNA from 1 species
UUCUGGUGAUAUAGCUCAGUGGUAGAGGACUUGCCUAGCAUCUCAGUGUCUUGGGUUCAAUCCCCAGUACAGAAA